rnacentral:lncRNA from 1 species
AGAUACCAGAGCAAGUGGCUGAGCCAUUUUAACUUGUAGGUUUGCCUCCAAAACCAGCCUGCAGUGUCUCAGGCAUGUCCGGCGUGUUCCUGGCCUGAAGGUGCUCCUCGUGCUGGGAUGGAGCCGCCACCUCAGCCCACUCACCACCUCCCUGCUGCUGCCGGACCAGGGCGGGCGACCGUCCUCUGAGGCCGUCUGACAGGUG